rnacentral:lncRNA from 1 species
GGAAAAAGGAUUUCAAAUUGAAGAUUUUUCAUGGAAGAUAGACAAAGACUAAAGAUGAUAGCUGAUGGAUGUGGAACACUGUAUAAAAUGUCAGAUUUUUUUUCAAGUUUCCAUGGAUGGUUCUCAACUGCCUAGAAGUUGAAAACUGGAGAGAAAAAGGCACAAUUUGCUCUUUCUUAUAUUGGCUCCAAGAACAGCUGUCAUAAAGUCCUACACCUGUUCCAAGUGAUCUCAAAAUCUAUGCCAUCACAUAGCAGCUAACCAUCAGACCCUGCUGACUCAAAGAGUUGAAGAACUGAAGAUGAGGAGAGUGAAGCAAACAGAGUUAAGGGACUCAUCCAGCAUCAC